UUCCACUGUGUGAUGAGCAGCUCAAGGGUC
rnacentral:piRNA from 1 species